rnacentral:rRNA from 1 species
UGGGGAAUUUUGGACAAUGGGGGAAACCCUGAUCCAGCCAUCCCGCGUGUGCGAUGAAGGCCUUCGGGUUGUAAAGCACUUUUGGCAGGAAAGAAACGCCAUGGGUUAAUACCCCGUGAAACUGACGGUACCUGCAGAAUAAGCACCGGCUAACUACGUGCCAGCAGCCGCGGUAAUACGUAGGGUGCAAGCGUUAAUCGGAAUUAUUGGGCGUAAAGCGUGCGCAGGCGGUUCGGAAAGAAAGAUGUGAAAUCCCAGAGCUCAACUUUGGAACUGCAUUUUUAACUACCAGGCUAGAGUGUGUCAGAGGGAGGUGGAAUUCCGCGUGUAGCAGUGAAAUGCGUAGAUAUGCGGAGGAACACCGAUGGCGAAGGCAGCCUCCUGGGAUAACACUGACGCUCAUGCACGAAAGCGUGGGGAGCAAACAGG